AUAAAUCAAAACUUUCAACAACGGAUCUCUUGGUUCUGGCAUCGAUGAAGAACGCAGCAAAAUGCGAUAAGUAAUGUGAAUUGCAGAAUUCAGUGAAUCAUCGAAUCUUUGAACGCACAUUGCGCCCGCCAGUAUUCUGGCGGGCAUGCCUGUUCGA
rnacentral:rRNA from 149 species